AUUGAACGCUGGCGGCAUGCCUUACACAUGCAAGUCGAACGGUAACAGGUCUUCGGAUGCUGACGAGUGGCGAACGGGUGAGUAAUACAUCGGAACGUGCCCGAUCGUGGGGGGAUAACGCAGCGAAAGCUGUGCUAAUACCGCAUACGAUCUACGGAUGAAAGCGGGGGAUCGCAAGACCUCGCGCGGACGGAGCGGCCGGUGGCAGAUUAGGUAGUUGGUGGGAUAAAAGCUUACCAAGCCGACGAUCUGUAGCUGGUCUGAGAGGACGACCAGCCACACUGGGACUGAGACACGGCCCAGACUCCUACGGGAGGCAGCAGUGGGGAAUUUUGGACAAUGGGGGCAACCCUGAUCCAGCCAUGCCGCGUGAGUGAAGAAGGCCUCGGUUGUAAGACUCUUUCGGCCGGGAGAAAUCGCAUGGUUAAUACCUGUGCGGAUGACGGUACCGGCCGAUAAGAAGACACCGGCUAACUAACGUCGCCAGCAGCCGCGGUAAC
rnacentral:rRNA from 1 species